AUAAAUCACUAUAGAAAAAUGUAGUAAAAAGGAAACAGAAGCAGAAUCAACGCAUUUCCAUAAUAGAAAACAGAAGCAAAUUUUCUCUCUAGCAAAUCGUAGGUCUCCUUCAAUCUGAGUAAUGAUGUUUGUUGUAGCUACCUUCAAUCUCAAGACCAUCUUCCACCUAUAUCAAACACAAUGAACGGACCAAAUCGUAAAUCCCAUGCCAUUUCAUUCGAAAUCGUUCCUCUAGAACAACUCACCCCAUUCAUCUUUACCUUCGUUCCCCCAACACACCAAUUUCGAUGUAGCUCAACCUCGAAGACCGACGAGGCACCACCUCAAUCUCUUGCUCAACUCGUAACCCAUUAGUAGCAUCUGAUUUCCUCCCUGGCUGAGAGGGUGCUCAAAGGAGUUUUGCAGCAACAAAGUCUCGGUGAUGACCCC
rnacentral:lncRNA from 1 species